CGCGAUCACUCCUACGGGGAGGCAGCAGUAGGGAAUCUUCCACAAUGGGCGCAAGCCUGAUGGAGCAACACCGCGUGAGUGAAGAAGGGUUUCGGCUCGUAAAGCUCCGUUGUUAAAGAAGAACACGUAUGAGAGUAACUGUUCAUACGUUGACGGUAUUUAACCAGAAAGUCACGGCUAACUACGUGCCAGCAGCCGCGGUAAUACGUAGGUGGCAAGCGUUAUCCGGAUUUAUUGGGCGUAAAGAGAGUGCAGGCGGUUUUCUAAGUCUGAUGUGAAAGCCUUCGGCUUAACCGGAGAAGUGCAUCGGAAACUGGAUAACUUGAGUGCAGAAGAGGGUAGUGGAACUCCAUGUGUAGCGGUGGAAUGCGUAGAUAUAUGGAAGAACACCAGUGGCGAAGGCGGCUACCUGGUCUGCAACUGACGCUGAGACUCGAAAGCAUGGGUAGCGAACAGGAUUAGAUACCCUGGUAG
rnacentral:rRNA from 1 species